rnacentral:tRNA from 1 species
GCUAGGGUGGCAGAGCCUGGUAAUUGCAAAAGACCUAAGCCCUUUUAACAGAGGUUCAAAUCCUCUCCCUAGCU